rnacentral:rRNA from 1 species
CGGGCCAGAUUCUCGGCAAUCUAUGAGGUCACCUGGAUUCGCAUUGGCACCUUCAGACUGCAGGUAUAGAGAGCUUCAGUGUAUGUCCUUGUCAGAGUAACGGACGCUAUACCAAGUUUGCGACGCACUCACGACUAGCCCUGCUACUACGCAAGCAGUCUCGUAUCGUCAGGUGCGAGUGUAAUCGAAUAGCUGUCUCAGGGUGGCAGAAAGUUAUUAUGCAGCGUUGAAUUCGCCCGGCCUCAACUUCGUAAAUGUUUUAUGAUCCGGAUAGUAUGAGUGAGUCAGAGGGGGGUAAGAAUUUCACCUCUAGCCAGUGACAUGCGUAAGAGAUGUGGAAGAAUAGCCAUCGUCGAAGGCAGCGCGUGUGACAACAUUGAUGUUCAUGUUCGAUAGCCUGGCUAGCAACAUGAUUAGAUGCCCGGUAGUCAGCGCCGCAAUCGACGUCGAUGAGCUUCGGGCAUCUAGACAUUUCAGUAGCGCACAAGGCAUGUGACAUCGACCCUCUUGGGGAGUACGUGUCGCAGGAUUAAAACUCAAAGGAUGGUGACGCGGACAGCGCACAAGCUCUGGAUGAUGUGGAUUAAUUCGAUGCAUCGCGAAGAACCUUACCUGGUCUUGACAUGUACGGAACCUUCCAGAGACGGAAGGGUGCCUUCGGGAGCCGUAACACAGGUGUAGCAUGCCUGUAGUCAGCUAGUGUCGCGAGAUGUCGGUUUAAGUCCUGUAACGAGCGCAACCCUUGUCAUUAGUUGCCAUCAUUUAGUUGGGCACUCUAAUGAGACUGCCGGUGACCAACCGGAGGAAGGUGGGGAUGACGUCAAGUCCUCAUGGCCCUUAUGACCAGGGCUUCACACGUCAUACAAUGGUCGGUACAGAGGGUAGCCAAGCCGCGAGGUGGAGCCAAUCCCAGAAAACCGAUCGUAGUCCGGAUUGCACUCCGCAACUUGAGUGCAUGAAGUCGGAAUCGCUAGUAAUCGCAGGUCAGCAUACUGCGGUGAAUACGUUCCCGGGUUUUGUACACACCGCCCGUCACACCCUGGGAGUGGGGGAUACCAGAAGCAGGUAGGGUAACCGCAAGGAGCCCGCUUGCCACGGUAUGCUUCAUGACUGGGGUGAAGUCGUAACAAGGUAGCCGUAGGGGAACCUGCGGCCGGAUCCCCUCUUUC